UACGUAGGGUGCAAGCGUUGCUCGGAAUCAUUGGGCGUAAAGCGCACGUAGGCGGCCUCGCAAGUCUGAUGUGAAAUCCCUCGGCUCAACCGAGGACGUGCAUCGGAAACUGCGGGGCUUGAGUACUGAAGAGGAUCGCGGAAUUCCCGGUGUAGAGGUGAAAUUCGUAGAUAUCGGGAGGAGCACCAGUGGCGAAGGCGGCGAUCUGGGCAGAUACUGACGCUGAGGUGCGAAAGCGUGGGGAGCAAACAGG
rnacentral:rRNA from 1 species